rnacentral:rRNA from 1 species
CCCGGGGGGAGCAAGCGUUGUUCGUCCUCCCUUUUCUUCCCUUUCUUUUAGGCGGUCAGGUAAGUGAAAUGUGAAAUGCCUCGGCUCACCCGAGGACCGGCAUCUCAUACUACCUGACUUGAGUACGGGAGAGGAUGUGGGAAUUCCUGGUGUAGCGGUGAAAUGCGUAGAUAUCAGGAGGAACACCGGUGGCGAAGGCGCACAUCUGG